rnacentral:rRNA from 1 species
AUACGUAGGUGGCGAGCGUUGUCCGGAUUUACUGGGUGUAAAGGGCGCGUAGGCGGGAUAGCAAGUCAGGUGUGAAAUCUAUGGGCUCAACCCAUAAACUGCACUUGAAACUGUUGUUCUUGAGUGUCGGAGAGGUAGAUGGAAUUCCUAGUGUAGCGGUGAAAUGCUUAGAUAUUAGGAGGAACACCAGUGGCGAAGGCGAUCUACUGGACGAUAACUGACGCUGAGGCGCGAAAGCGUGGGGAGCAAACAGGAUUAGAUCCCCUGGUAGUCCACGCCGUAAACGAUGAAUACUAGGUGUGGGUGGGACUGACCCCAUCCGUGCCGCAGCUAACGCAAUAAGUAUUCCACCUGGGGAGUACGGCCGCAAGGCUGAAACUUAAAGGAAUUGACGGGG